GAAGGGAUGACUGGUGACAGAGUGAGGGAAUGACUGGUGACAGAGUGAGAGAGGGGGUGACUAGUGACCGAGUGAGGGAGGGAGUGGGUGACUAGUGACAGAGUGAGGAAGGGGGUGACACAGUGAUAGUCACCCCAUUCCUCCCUCUGUCACUAAUCACCACCUCCCUCACUCUCACUAGUCACCCCUUCCCUCCCUCACUCUGUCACUAGUCACACCCUCCCUCUCUCUGUCACUAGUCACACCCUUACUCACUGUCACUAGAGUGAG